UUUGGUUCUGCCAAGCCACCGUGGAAGAGAGUGUGGACUUGGAGACGGAGGGAGAGGGCGGCCAGGCCCCCUUCCUUUCCUGUCCCGUUGAACAGCGAUGAAUGGAGAGAUUUUCAGGGAGAAAUCGGGCUGGUGGUACCCACGUGCAGCUAAGAGGUGCUGUGGUUCCGAUGCUGAGGGAAACUAGGAAGCAGAAUAUGAGACACCCCCUCAAACGGAACAUCUCACCUGCAUUGGCCUACUCUCACUAUGAUUACGAUAACAGAAUACCACAGCCUGAGUGGCUUAAGCAAUGGAAAUUUACUUCUCACCCUUCUGGAGGCUGAGAAGUUCAAGAUCAAGGUGCUGGCAAGUUCCAUGGGUCAGCUGCGUGGCUCUUCUGGUCUAGGCUAGCUUGGCUGAAUUCAGAGGCAGAAGAUACAAAAUAUACAUUUGGGAUGCUAACAGGACAUAGAAAAUCUGCCAAGCGACCGUGGAAAAUGGUCCAGGCCUGUGGGCCCAAGAAGCUGGGAGAAUUGGUGAUGUGCAUGCAUGUGUGGGUGUUAGAAACUGACCAAUUAAUAAAGCCGACACUUGGC
rnacentral:lncRNA from 1 species